rnacentral:lncRNA from 1 species
CACUGCCAUCCAUCAACCCUCCACAACCGCUCAAAGCAAUUCUCACAAUUGCUUAAAAGAUCGUCACCAAAUUCCACCGUCAUCUCCACCACCGCAGAUCAUCCUUUGAUCUCCCCGUGAAUUGCAACAGGUUUUGGUUUCCUACCUUACUGCUGCCCUAUUCGAAAAUCAAAAAAAAAAAAAUUUUGUUCCUAUAUUGCUG